AAUGAAAAUAUGUACCAGAGAAAAAUUCUUCGGAAUUGGAGGUGAUAUAAAACAAGCCUUUCUUACUGUGUUUGUAGACUUAUGUAUUUGAAUAUGUUUCUGAACUAAUGACUUGUACAAUAACAGAAAUUUUUGGAAGACAGGAAAUGUCAGUGAAGGGCCGUGGACAAUCCAAACUGCAAAACACAAUCUGCAGCAGGACGGCUCUAGUUGUGGAGUCUUAAUUUUGAUGUUUGCAGAGCUCAUUCUCCAAGGUAGAAGUAUCUGCGUUGCUCAAACAGACACAGAGGAGGUCUCAGCCGCAAGAGUCAAAAUUGCAACCACUCUUCUGGAAUGCAAAGUUUUUCAUUUAAGAUGGUGUGGAAGAUCUCUGUGUUUCCUGCAACAUGUUGCUGUUUGAUGCUGAGGAGGAUUUCACAGAGAUGGUGCAGUGUCAAGAUGGACGCACAAGGAGUGUACCCCUGCAACCCUUGCCUCAGAGCA